GCCUCGCUAGUAUAAUGGAUCAGCACGGCAGAUCGGGAUAUCUGUAAGUGCGAGUUCGAGUCCCGCCUGAGGUU
rnacentral:tRNA from 1 species